GCGGCGUGCUUAACACAUGCAAGUCGAACGGAAAGGCCCUGCUUUUGUGGGGUGCUCGAGUGGCGAACGGGUGAGUAACACGUGAGUAACCUGCCCUUGACUUUGGGAUAACUUCAGGAAACUGGGGCUAAUACCGGAUAGGAGCUCCUGCUGCAUGGUGGGGGUUGGAAAGUUUCGGCGGUUGGGGAUGGACUCGCGGCUUAUCAGCUUGUUGGUGGGGUAGUGGCUUACCAAGGCUUUGACGGGUAGCCGGCCUGAGAGGGUGACCGGCCACAUUGGGACUGAGAUACGGCCCAGACUCCUACGGGAGGCAGCAGUGGGGAAUAUUGCACAAUGGGCGGAAGCCUGAUGCAGCAACGCCGCGUGCGGGAUGACGGCCUUCGGGUUGUAAACCGCUUUCGCCUGUGACGAAGCGUGAGUGACGGUAAUGGGUAAAGAAGCACCGGCUAACUACGUGCCAGCAGCCGCGGUGAUACGUAGGGUGCGAGCGUUGUCCGGAUUUAUUGGGCGUAAAGGGCUCGUAGGUGGUUGAUCGCGUCGGAAGUGUAAUCUUGGGGCUUAACCCUGAGCGUGCUUUCGAUACGGGUUGACUUGAGGAAGGUAGGGGAGAAUGGAAUUCCUGGUGGAGCGGUGGAAUGCGCAGAUAUCAGGAGGAACACCAGUGGCGAAGGCGGUUCUCUGGGCCUUUCCUGACGCUGAGGAGCGAAAGCGUGGGGAGCGAACAGGCUUAGAUACCCUGGUAGUCCACGCUGUAAACGGUGGGUACUAGGUGUGGGGUCCAUUCCACGGGUUCCGUGCCGUAGCUAACGCUUUAAGUACCCCGCCUGGGGAGUACGGCCGCAAGGCUAAAACUCAAAGGAAUUGACGGGGCCCCGCACAAGCGGCGGAGCAUGUGGAUUAAUUCGAUGCAACGCGUAGAACCUUACCUGGGUUUGACAUGGAUCGGGAGUGCUCAGAGAUGGGUGUGCCUCUUUUGGGGUCGGUUCACAGGUGGUGCAUGGCUGUCGUCAGCUCGUGUCGUGAGAUGUUGGGUUAAGUCCCGCAACGAGCGCAACCCUUGUUCACUGUUGCCAGCACGUUAUGGUGGGGACUCAGUGGAGACCGCCGGGGUCAACUCGGAGGAAGGUGGGGAUGACGUCAAGUCAUCAUGCCCCUUAUGUCCAGGGCUUCACGCAUGCUACAAUGGCUGGUACAGAGAGUGGCGAGCCUGUGAGGGUGAGCGAAUCUCGGAAAGCCGGUCUCAGUUCGGAUUGGGGUCUGCAACUCGACCUCAUGAAGUCGGAGUCGCUAGUAAUCGCAGAUCAGCAACGCUGCGGUGAAUACGUUCCCGGGGCUUGUACACACCGCCCGUCAAGUCAUGAAAGUUGGUAACACCCGAAGCCGGUGGCCUAACCGUUGUGGGGGAGCCGUCGAAGGUGGGACUGGUGAUUAGG
rnacentral:rRNA from 1 species